AGAGUUUGAUCAUGGCUCAGGAUGAACGCUAGCGGCAGGCCUAAUACAUGCAAGUCGUACGGUAUUCCGGUUUCGGCCGGGAGAGAGUGGCGGAUGGGUGCGUAACGCGUAUGCAACCUGCCCGGUACAGGCGGAUAGCCCCCGGAAACGGGGAUCAAUACGCCGUGUUGCGGUUUUCCGGCAUCGGGAUUCCGCCAAAGCCUUCGGGCGGUACCGGAUGGGCAUGCGUGGGAUUAGCUUGUUGGGGGUGUAACGGACCACCAAGGCUUUGAUCCCUAGGGGACCUGAGAGGGCGAUCCCCCACACUGGCACUGAGACACGGGCCAGACUCCUACGGGAGGCAGCAGUAGGGAAUAUUGGGCAAUGGGCGGUAGCCUGACCCAGCCAUGCCGCGUGCAGGAAGACGGCGUUCUGCGUUGUAAACUGCUUUUAUACGGGAAUAAACCCCCCGACGUGUCGGGGGCUGAAUGUAUUGUAUGAAUAAGCACCGGCUGACUCCGUGCCAGCAGCCGCGGUAAUACGGAGGGUGCAAGCGUUAUCCGGAUUUAUUGGGUUUAAAGGGUCCGUAGGUGGGACUGUAAGUCAGUGGUGAAAUCUUUCGUCUUAACCGGAAAAUUGCCGUUGAUACUGCGGUUCUUGAGUAUGCUCGAGGUAGGCGGAAUAUGUCAUGUAGCGGUGAAAUGCAUAGAUAUGACAUGGAACACCGAUAGCGAAAGCAGCUUAUCAGAUCAUAACUGAUAUUGAGGGAUGAAAGCGUGGGGAGCGAACAGGAUUAGAUACCCUGGUAGUUUACGCAGUAAACGAUGAUCACUAGACAUUGGCGACAUACAGUCGGUGUCAAAGCGAAAGUAUUAAGUGAUCCACCUGGGGAGUACGAUCGCAAGAUUGAAACUCAAAGGAAUUGACGGGGGCCCGCACAAGUGGUGGAGCAUGUGGUUUAAUUCGAUGAUACGUGAGGAAUCUUACCUGGGCUUAAAUGCAGAACGACAGACUCGGAAACGAGUCCUUCUUCGGACGGUCUGCAAGGUGCUGCAUGGUUGUCGUCAGCUUGUGCCGUGAGGUGUUGGGUUAAGUCCCAUAACGAGCGCAACUUUUAUCACUAGUUGCCAGCGAGUAAUGUCGGGGACUCUAGUGAAACUGCCCGUGCAAGCGGUGAGGAAGGUGGGGAUGAUGUCAAAUCAUCACGGCCCUUACGUCCAGGGCUACACACGUGCUACAAUGGUGAGUACAAAGGGCAGCCACCCCGUGAGGGGGAGCUAAUCUCUAAAGCUCGUCUCAGUUCGGAUUGAAGUCUGCAAUUCGACUUCAUGAAGCUGGAAUUGCUAGUAAUCGUGUAUCAGUUAUGGCGCGGUGAAUACGUUCCCGGGCCUUGUACAUAUCGUUCGUCAAGCCAUGGAAGCCGGGGGUGUUUGAAGUCGGUGAUCGAAAGGAGCCGCCUAGGGCAAAACCGGUAACUGGGGCUAAGUCGUAACAAGGUAGCCGUA
rnacentral:rRNA from 1 species